CAAGCUAUAUCAGACCAGCUAAUUUAUCAAACUGGAGAACUGUGAGUCCCACGACUUACAGUUCAUGAGGAACUUCAGUUUGGUGGCAGCUCCAAGACAGCUCCAACUCAAGGCUCAUCCAAACACAGCCUCUAACUUAAGAGACACAAGCAGCCUUCCAAGAGCAGAAGAAAUUCUCAUCCACCCUAACGCAAAGCCUCCAUUUCUUCACAGAGGUUUGGAUUUGUCUGUAUAACUUGCUUCAAAAUCUUUCACCUCACCUCACUUUAUAAGACAAUGUAAGGUAAGGCCCAUGUUUAUGAAAAUUUGCAAAUUUGCAGGUUCCGGCUCAUGGAAU